CUCCCGGCACUUCUGUCGCUUUGGCCAGAAGUCGUCAAAUUCAAGGGAAGAGUAUCACAAACUCUCCCAAUACUUCUGUCGCUUCGGCCAGAAGUCAUUAUACUUUGGGAGGGAGUAUCACAAGCUCUCUCCAUCUUUAAAGGUUCCGAGUUUCAAGGCAACCUUGGAGUGUCGAGUAUUUGUGAUUGGUCGUUUACCGACAAUCACAUAAAUCGAAAAACACUCAUCACAAAAGUUGUGUAGCACCAAAGCACAACCUUCGAGGGGAGUAUCACAAGCUCUCCCGGCGCUUCUGUCGCUUCGGCCAGAAGUCGUCGAAACUCAGGGGGGAGUAUCACAAGCUCUCCCGGCACUUCUGUCGCUUCGGCCAGAAGUCGUCGAAACUCAGGGGGGAGUAUCACAAGCUCUCCCGGCACUUCUGUCGCUUCGGCCAGAGGUCGUCGAAAUUCAGGGGGGAGUAUCACAAGCUCUCCCGGCACUUCUGUCGCUUCGGCAGAAGUCGUCGAAAUUCAGGGGGGAGUAUCACAAGCUCUCCCGGCACUUCUG
rnacentral:lncRNA from 1 species